rnacentral:rRNA from 1 species
UACGUAGGGUGCAAGCGUUGUCCGGAAUUAUUGGGCGUAAAGAGCUCGUAGGCGGUCUGUCGCGUCUGCUGUGAAAACUCGGGGCUUAACCCCGGGCCUGCAGUGGGUACGGGCAGACUAGAGUGCGGUAGGGGAGACUGGAAUUCCUGGUGUAGCGGUGAAAUGCGCAGAUAUCAGGAGGAACACCGGUGGCGAAGGCGGGUCUCUGGGCCAAAACUGACGCUGAGGAGCGAAAGCGUGGGGAGCGAACAGG